CUCUUGGUCUUUCUGUCCUGCACUCUGGGACUUUUUUGGAAACGGGGUUUAAUUCCGUUUUCUGAUCUUUUUAUGCAUUUUGGUUGAUCUAAAGCUCCGGCGGUGCAGGAUGAGCCCGCGGUCUAUCUUUUUUUUGGUGAGGUAUGGCUCACCAAGGCGACGACGGGUAGCCGGCCUGAGAGGGCGACCGGCCACACUGGGACUGAGACACGGCCCAUACUCCUACGGGAGGCAGCAGUGGGGAAUAUUGCACAAUGGGCGAAAGCCUGAUGCAGCGACGCCGUGUGAGGGAUGACGGCCUUCGGUUUGUAAACCUUCUUUCAGCAGGGAAGAAGCUAUUGUGACGGUACCUGCAGAAGAAGCUCCGGCUAACUACGUGCCACCAGCCGCGGUAAUACGUAGGGCGCGAGCGUUGUCCGGAAUUAUUGGGCGUAAAGAGCUCGUAGGCGGCUUGUCACGUCGGCUGAGAAAGCCCGGGGCUUUAACCCCGGGUCUGCAUUCGAUACGGGCAGGCUAGAGUUCGGUAGGGGAGAUCGGGAAUUUCCUGGUGUAGCGUGUGAAAUGCGCAGAUAUCCAAGAGGAACCACCGGUGGCAAAGGCGGAUAUAUGGGCCGAUACUGACGCUGAGGAACGAAAGCGUGGGGAGCGAACAGGAUUUAGAUACUCCUGGUAGUACACGCUCGUAAAAGGUGGGCACUUAGUGUGAGGCGACAUUCCAAGUCGUCCGUGCCGCAGCUAACGCAUAAAGUGCCCCGCCUGGGGAGUACGACCGCAAGGCUAAAACUCAAAGGAAUUAACAGGGGCCCGCACAAACGGCGAAGCAUGUGGAUUAAUACAACGCAAAACGAAGAACCUUACCAAGGCUUAAAAAACACCGGAAAAAUCAAAAAAUGGUGCCCCCCUUGGGGUCGGUGUACAGGUGGUGCAUGACAGUAGUAAACUCGUGUAGUUAAAUGUUGGGUUAAGUCCCAAAACAAACACAAACCUAGACCCAUGUAACCAACAGGACAUUGUGGU
rnacentral:rRNA from 1 species